GAUGAACGCUGGCGGCGUGCCUAAUACAUGCAAGUCGAGCGGUAAGGCUCCUGCAGUUUAUUUGAUUAUGAUUGCGCUCGCAGAGUAAACCAGUUUACUGGUGUGCGAAGCGAAGGCAAUCACAACAGACCCAAUCAACCCCGGCUAGGGAAGAGACGGCGAGGGAAAAUCGAAUGAAGUGCUGGAGUACACGAGCGGCGGACGGCUGAGUAACGCGUAGGAACGUACCCCAAACUGAGGGAUAAGCACCAGAAAUGGUGUCUAAUACCGCAUGUGCUCUAAGGAGUAAAGCUUCGGCGGUUUGGGAACGGCCUGCGUACGAUUAGAUUGUUGGUGAGGUAAUGGCUCACCAAGUCGACGAUCGUUAGCUGGUCUGAGAGGAUGAUCAGCCAGACUGGGACUGAGAACGGCCCAGACUCCUACGGGAGGCAGCAGUAGGGAAUUUUCCACAAUGGACGAAAGUCUGAUGGAGCAACGCCGCGUGCG
rnacentral:rRNA from 1 species